rnacentral:rRNA from 1 species
AGACAGCAGUAGCCACGGGAAUACGUAGGUGGCAAGCGUUGUCCGGAAUUAUUGGGCGUAAAGGGCUCGCAGGCGGUUUCUUAAGUCUGAUGUGAAAGCCCCCGGCUCAACCGGGGGGGGUCAUUGGAAACUGGGAAACUUGAGUGCAGAAGAGGAGAGUGGAAUUCCACGUGUAGCGGUGAAAUGCGUAGAGAUGUGGAGUAACACCAGUGGCGAAGGCGACUCUCUGGUCUGUAACUGACGCUGAGGAGCGAAAGCGUGGGGAGCGAACAGGAUUAGAUACCCGCGUAGUCCCUGUCUCUUAUAA